UACGUAGGGUGCGAGCGUUGUCCGGAAUUAUUGGGCGUAAAGAGCUCGUAGGCGGUUUGUCGCGUCGACUGUGAGAACCUGGGGCUUAACUCUGGGCCUGCAGUCGAUACGGGCAGACUUGAGUUCGGUAGGGGAGACUGGAAUUCCUGGUGUAGCGGUGAAAUGCGCAGAUAUCAGGAGGAACACCGGUGGCGAAGGCGGGUCUCUGGGCCGAUACUGACGCUGAGGUGCGAAAGCGUGGGGAGCAAACAGG
rnacentral:rRNA from 1 species